rnacentral:lncRNA from 1 species
AGACACACCAGGCCGCCAUGUUGUGUAAGGUUAGUCUCUCAGCCUCCGCGAGAAGAAGGCGAAAAAUGGGGAGGAGCAGCCUGGUUACUUUCAAACGAGAAAGAACGGAUAUGUUAAGCGUGGAGGGCUCCUAAUGGUAGCGGUUUGAUUUUCAGUGAGUUUGGCGCGGUGGAGACGUCACCGCGGUCUAACAGUUCCGACGUGGUGGCGUCAUCACUGGCCGCCGUAGGAGGUGGAGCUACGUUGGCCUCGUGACCGGGCCCUGUAGCGGAAGCCCAGGUCAAGGCCCUAACAAAAGGGCCCGCCUAUGGCCACAGUUUCAGGCCCUCCUUUCAGUCAUGGACUGUUGAAGCACGAUUUCCUGGUGCUUUCGCCCCUUUCACCGACCAUUUCAAGAGUCCGUAGUUCUCGCCUGGGUUUGGAUUCGGUAUAAGUGAGCCUGUUUACCAUCAAAGAAAAUGGUGAAAUGUCUUCUGGAGACGAUGUUCUCUUCUGGUUCUAACCCUGUCACUCAGUGAGACCCCCAGAGAAGCCUAGUUUUCAGAUUAUUCUAGUCCUUGGCAGGCUCAAGAUGUCAACAACACGGUUGGAAACAACCCCUGAGAGGUCACAUAGCGCGCACUCAGCUUUACAGAUCGUCCAAGGCAGCGACCCCUGAGAGGUCACAUAGCGCGCACUCAGCUUUAUAGAUCGUCCAAGGCAGCAAUUAGAAUCAGCAACUCGGAGAGGAAAAAAAGCUGUUAGCGGAAUGGAGGCUGACCAUUAUCUGUAGUAAAGAAUCGGAAGUACAGUACAAAAAUAAAUUACCGAAACGCAACAUGCGUGAAUUUCACACAAAAAAAUGAAGUUGAGGGAAAGAAGCCAGACAUGGAAGAGUUCAUAUUGCGUGGUUCCAUUUAAAAACUAGCCCAUGGUGUUAAUGAGCAUAGUGGGGAGGACAAUGACAUGAAAGAGCCACCAGGGGGCUUUUGAGGUUCAGGUAAUGUUUCUUGAUUUGGACACUGAUUAUAGAUAGGUGGGUUCACUUUAGAAAUCUCAUUGAGUUGUAAACGUAUAUUUAUGUACGUAGUUUUUUCUGUAGAUUAUGCUUAAGGCCCGGCGAAGGGGAAUUUGCCCAGGUAAUGGAAAUAUUACACCGAUACAUAGAAUUGUCAAAGUUCAUGGGAUGAACUCCUAAGAGCUGUGUAUUUUAUCGUAUAAAUUUUUUUAAGUGUCCAACCAAUAGCCUGGAAUUAUUAAGUACAUAAUUAAAUAAAAACAAAUAUCCCAUGGACCUAAUGCAGUGAACAGUUACCUCGUUCUCUUAAUUGCUCAGGCUAAGGACUCAUACCUGAGUCUUCUAUCUCAGGCCUUACAUCUUAUAUAACAAGCCUUACUGGCUUAAUCUUCAAAAUAUGUAGCGAAUUUAACGAGUUCUCACAACCUCUGCUUCUACCACCUGACGGGGUUUGGGACAUGCUACCCAAAAAUAUGGCACCUAGACAUAUUGAAUACUUUGAACUGAAGGAAUUUGAGAAAGAACAUAUGCAGGAAUGUCUCUAACUUUCUUGCACCUUUCUGCUCUGAAGCAGGACGUAAUACCCUCAUGUGAGAAUUGCCCUGUCUAUACCUGGAAUAAAAGUAACAUCUUUAUCUCUGAAAACACAGGGACGUAGAGACGAAUAUGAACAUCAGGCCUUGCUAAGUUUCCCCCAGUUUAUUACCCUUAGAUCACAGUCUUUUAGCCCCAUCACAUUUUCCCACAAUUCUCCAUUCUUCUUCAAACCUACUCUAAACAACACUAAGGUUAACUAUUUAUUCGGGUCUUCAUUUCUUUAUGAAGUUUCCAUGUUAUGUAAAACUAACAUUAAUAUUUAUGCUUUUCUCUUGUUAAUUUGUCUUUUGUUACAGGAUCCCCAGCCAGUGAGCCUAAAAUGGGUAGAAGGAAAAGAUAUUUCUUACCCUACGCACCCAGGUCCAAGUCAUCAUUAUUUUGUCUGAAAUUUAUCUUCCUAACUGAUUUCUCUGCUUCCCCAUUGUGCCUUAAGAGUUAGUUUUCCACAGAGCAGCUCGAGAUAUCUUUUCAGAUCAUUAUAUCCCUUUGCUUAAAAACCUCUAACAGCUUCCUAUUAGGCUUAGAAUAAAGUACAAACUCCUUAAUGUGAACUUGAGUGUUUUACGUAUCUUAUCUCACCUUUAUGAGCUUCAUGUCAGAACCCAUCUCUCACCACUCUUCCUUCCCCGCUCCCUGAUUUAAACAGUCUGGCACUUUACUUAUUCAUUGAACCCACUGGGUUUGCUCUUGCCUCCAAGUCUGUACCCAGCUUUCUCUCUACCUGUAAUCCUCUUCCUCUAGGUCAUCACACAGAUCGUUUCUUCACUCUAUUUAGGUCUUUCAGAAGUAACACUAAGGGAGGCUUUUCCAGACAAUAUUAUGCAAAUAUAAAUGGACAUGUGACAAAUACUUUAUUCGACUUAUUAGUUACUGAGAGUGUAUUUGAGUAGCCAGGUAUUUAUAGGCAAUUUAACAAUGUAAUGUUAGUAUAAGGUGGCAAGGUUAGAUAUAAACCUGUUAAUGUCUCACAGGGUAAUAAACUAUAACUUUUGGUGUUAUCUGUUCCACUGGAAAGGAAGUAGGGAUUUGCAUUCUUACUGGACAAAAAUCUACAAGUUAAUGUAUAGAUUCAGUAUAGGACUUUUAAAUCAAUAGUGAACGAUGAAAUGAACAAAGUACAAUCCCCUAGUCCUUGGUUUGACACUGAAAGGACAUGCCACUCACCUUUUUGCCUUGUUUCCAAAGUUUGGAAUAAUUUUCCUUUCAAAAUGAAAUUAUUUCUCAUUCAGUUGUCCUAUUGCAGGCAGCCUUUACUGCUUCCCCCAGUUAAUGUACCUGUCAAGCUUACUCAUGAUUUCCUAACUGCCAAAUUCAAUGGAUAUUUUUAAUUUUUUUUUUGCUAUGACUCAUACUGUUCCCUUCGGGCUUGUCAGCAGAUAAAUGACCUUCUGGGGACUGUGCAAAAUAUGGAAUGCUUAAUGAAUUUGUGUGUUAUUCUUGUGCAGGGGACACAACAGUCUUCUCUGUAGAUUACAGUUUUAGUGUAUGUGCUGUUGAAGUGAGCACUUCUGAGUAAUUUUGAUUGUUUUACUUUUUAUGUAAAAUUUCACAUUGUUUAAAACACCAGAUGGGGGCCAGGCAUGGUGGCUCAUGCCUGCAAUCCCAGCACUUUGGGAGGCUGAGGCGAGUGGAUUGCUUGGGCUCAGGAGUUUGAGACCAGCCUUGCCAUGUGGCAAAACCUUGUCUCUAUAAAAAAUAGAAAUAUCAGCCAGGCAUGGUGGUGUAUGCCUGUAGUCCCAGCUACUUGGGAGGCUGAGGUGGGAGGCACUUGAGCCUGGGAGGUGGAGGUUGAAGUGAGCUGAGAUCACGCCACUGCACUCCAGCCUGGGUGACAGAGCAAGACCAUCUCAGAAAACAAACAAACAAAAAAUACCACAUGGCCAAAUGAAAGAUGUCUGUGGUCUGAAUUUGGGCCAAAAGCUGUAAUCUUACAGUCUUUGAUUAUUUUUUAAUACAUGCUGAAUUCCAAGAGGAGCUGACAAAUCUCUUGAGAUUUCACUUGGGUUCCAUGGAUUCCCAGCACAAAAUGCAAAUGCAAAUGAGAUAUGAUUGGGAUUCUCUGCACACUAUCUCCACUUUCAUAAGUGCCUCUGAAGUUUAGUUUGAAUUUUAUAGUAUCUCCUACCUUGCUGUACCUUAAAGGACUAACAGCAGCUACCUGACCCAGGAUUAGCCAGUCAUAUUUUUUCCAGAAUUUGUAAUUGGAACAAUUGAGAUGGUAGUCUUCUGCUGGUAGUUUGAAGAGAGGAUAUGUAAACUUGGUAGCUGUGUACUUAGAAGCAGAGAAAGCCUGUUUUCAGAGAGAAGAAUGAAGCAGGUAAGUCAUCUGGAAGGACAAGCAGAAGCACAAUUUUGGGAACAGUUGCUUUCAGAGUCCUGAUGGCAUUCCAGCCCCUUGUCCUAGUGCCAGUUCAGGCCCAAGUGUUUGGCCUUUGGGACCUAUGAUACAGAUAUCCUAUUUCCUUUUAAUUAAUUGCCUCUUAAAAUUACUAUUAUUAAGCUAGCUUGCAAGGGUUUCUGUUACGUGGAAUCAAGGAACCUCAGUAGAGAGGAAAAUGAAGCACUUUGUGGUGGUGCUGCACAGGGUAUCAUUUUGCAGGGUAUAUACUGUGUGUUUUCUACGUUGACUGGAGUCUGGGGUCAGGUGUAAGAAGUGUUACAUAAACAUUGGGUUCAAAUGAGUCAGAAUAAAGUCAACUAAAAAAAUAAAAAAGACAUACAUGGACUUCAGAACAAAUGUUUAUUACUGCUUAAUGGGGCCAAAGGGGCAACACAAAGCAUUGAAAACAUCACUGGCUCACAAAAACAGUCACCUUGUUACCUUCUCAGUUGCAUUUGUUUAUUUCACAAGGCUUCAUUCACACAUAAAAACAAGAUACUAAUCCAAUUCAAGUUCAUAACGAUUAUAAAAGUAAACAUUUGUUGGGACAAUGUACAAUAAAUUGCACUUUUUAGACAAGCAUUACAUUUACAUUUAUAGAGUGUACUAUACAUAAUACAUGGAAUUACGGAAACGUCUAAUUGGUCAUUGUUUAUAGAGGAAGAGGCUGAUCACUAACGUUUAUUUUGUAGUUAAUUAGUACUGUUCAGACUAAUCAACUCCUUUAUUCUAGAACCUGUUUUCAUUAGAGAUGCCAUGGACAAAAUAAUGGAAUUCAUAAAAAUAGACAAUUCCAGAAUCUCUACUACCUCCUCUGCAAGGGAAAGGUAGGAGUUAGAAAGAAAGGAAGUGGGGCUGACUGAGAAACUUUGUCCCUCAUUUGAACUAAGGAUCCAUGCAUUAUGCAAAAUACCAAAAAUAGAGAAACUGAUACAAAAGGCUUUUGGGACAUCUUGGAUCUGGGACCAUCUCCAGCCUUAUUCUUGUGCUUUCAUGACACCAGAGUCUUUCGAUGCAUUUAUAUUCUCACAAUUCAGUCCAUAUAUUUUAUCCCAUAUAUAAUAUAUAGUUAUUAAAAGUUAUACAGUUUAAUGGAAAAGAUUUUACAUGUUAACUAAUUGCCAAUGAAAAAGGAAAAUAACUUAAAAUGUUCACUUUCUACUCAAUGAUUCUUUUUUCUUAAGCUUUUCAGAAUACCACUAAUGACAAACCAGAGAUGGAGGUAGGAAGAAUGGGAUAUAUUAAUGAAAUGUUUUUAUAGCAGGCAGCAAAUUCAGGUGGAGAUAAGCUUGACAUAUGUAGUCUUUUAGAUGCAAACUGAGAAAGGAAUGCCAGACAGCUGACUGCAGUCACUAAAAUCUCCUAUAUGCCCACUUUUCUCAUUACAACUCAAGAUCAGCAUCUCCUAUUGAGGUGCAGCCAAGGUUGAAGUCCUCAUUUUGGUCACUUUUGAAAGAUAAAGAAUUUGCUAAGGUAAAGGGCUUUGCCUGUAUUAAAUGGAAGCCAUUAUGAGAGAGGAAGAAUGUGUUGGGACAGUUCUAGUUCAGUGUGACUAUCAGCAUGGCGACGAGAAAGAGUUUUAUAUCUGGUUGUAGGAAACAGGCUGCAGAGCUGUGGUCUGGCCUUCUGGCUUUCAUCAUCAUUUCUUGAAAUCUCAAUGUGUAUUUGGUUGUGUGGUACCCAGGUAAACAAAAGCAGCAGAGAUACUCUAUAUAAAAUUCUUCCAAUUAAACACACAUACAAACCUAAUAGUGUUCAAAUCAUACAACAGAAUUUCUUCACACUCAUUUGUAAUUGGAGAAAAGGAGUCAGUAUUUUGGAGUGUUUUUAAGGGCAAGUUAUAUAAUAUAAUCAUCUUGCUAAUCAAGUAAAAGUGUUCUUUCCCAGAAGAUAAAACAAAACCAAGGCAUUUAAUUUUUUAAAAGUUUUUUCCCUUAAAGGGGCCCCCCUAAUCAGGCAGGUACCUAAGUGUUUGAUGCAAAGGUUGGUGGGAGAGUUAGUAGACAGAUUUUAGUGAAAGUAUGAAGACUUAAACCCCUACAUCAGUUACACAUGUGAUUCUCCUGGGUGACUGGCUCACUCCUUUAAAGAUGUAACUCUAUCUCCUCUGCCCAAAUCUGUAUUGUUUUCCGUUGGUUUUCUCACUUCAGCUAGGAAAUAAAGCAACUAGUUAUUAACUGGAAAAUAUUUUAAGAAAAUGGAGCAGGGGUUGGAGAAAAAUAAAUAUUAAUACAUCAUAGGAAAAAAAUGAAACAAGAUACAUACUAUUAAAUAUCCCCACAUCCAUACAAAGGUUGCUUUUCUACUUUACUCAGGACAUUUCAGAAAGCCAAUGAAGAAGUACUAAUUUAACAGCUGGGAGAGGGGCAGAAGACACUGGUUGAAUGGCAUUCCUAUUAGUGUUCCUGAUAGGCACUCAUAAAUAAACAGAACAUUAAGUAACAGAAUUUCUUUGCAUUAAAUUAUAUGUAACUAAAUAAAACCAAAUUUUGACAUGGUUCAGGAUGUGGGAAGCUAGCAAACAUAUGCACUGCAAAAUCCAGCUUGGUUUCUUUCAGAUUUAAAGACGUGUUUAGAUUCUCAAGAUACAAAAGCUGAUGAACUGAAUUAUGAAGUUGAAUUUCAUUCAUUUAAUUUUUUCCACAGAAUUUAAUGAAAAUAGAAAUGAUCAAUUCUUAGAUACUGCAAAUAUUAGAUUUUCAGAGGAAUGUUUUGUACAGAGUGCAUCCUAGCAAAGGAUGAAAAACACUAGAAUGUUUUGAAACUUUCCUGGAUAUUUGGCUGGUUAAUCUCUUCUAAGUGAAAUUCAAGAGAAGAGAUGCAAUUCUCAAAUAUAUCUCAAAAUAACUAAAAUUAAAACUAGGAGUUACUUCAUGCUGGGAUGCAUGAGUUUUCCAACAAUAGACAGUGAAGGACAUAUUGUUUGGAAUAUUGCUAUUAUAACAUAUUGUAUGAACAAUCAUAUCACAUACCAAAUUCUGAAUUUUCUUUGUUUCUAGUCUUUACUAUUGCUACUGACUCAAAGGCAUUGCAGUGAAGGAGAGUUUAGGCUUAUGGUACCAACAGGCAUACCCAAGUAUGAUAUGGGGCUGGAGAAUAAAAAAAAAAAAAAUAUGUAUUGCCCUCGUAAUCUUUUGAAAGAGCUAAAAGAAAACUCAAAAGAUGGACUUAUCAAACUUGAGAGGUAUGUACCUGGUGAUUUUUCGAGACGGAAUUUUGCUCUUGUCGCCCAGGCUGGAUGGAAUGUAAUGCCGUAAUCUUGGCCCACUGCAACCUCUGCCUCCUGGGUUCAAGUGAUUCUCCUGCCUCAACCUCCCGAGUAGCUGGGAUUACAGGCACCCGCCACCAAGCCCGGCUAAUUUUUGUAUUUUGCAGUAGAGAUAGGGUUUCACCAUGUUGGCCAGGCUGGUCUCAAACUCCUGACCUUAGGUGAUCCACCCACCUCAGCCUCCCAAAGUGCUGGGAUUACAGAUGUGAGCCACCAUGCCUGGCCAGGGGGGAUUUUUCUCUUCUCCUCUUUAAAAGGAAAGGGACUAUGAAGUUGAACAAGGUCUUUAGAUAAGGGAUUGACCUAGAGCCAUUAUGUUUCUCCCUCACCUACUAUUAUUUAAAGAAAAUUACACACUUUAGGCAUUCUGUGGAAUGUACUUAUUUUUGUAAAUUGAAACAAGCUCUGUACAGAACUAUGAAAUUCACAACACAAAAGAGCAUCUUUAAUUUAGCUGGCCAUUUGAUAAGGCAACUGCACAAGGCUUCUUGGAAUCAAAGCGUAAAGUACCAGUAAAGCUAACAGCCUAUACUAAAUGAUUUACAAAAACAAGCGCCAAGAUAACAUUUUCUAGCUAUUACAUUUUACAAAAAAAAAAAAAAAAAAAUUAGCUUAUCUAGACCACCAUGUAGAGAAUGUUAAAGCCAACACAGACACUUGGAAUGCUGGGUUAUGUUCCUUUUUGUUAAGAAAAUAAAUUUUGUAAUGAAAGAUGUCAGAACAACAAUGAAAGAUUUAUGUAAGAAAAGUAUUAUCUGAUGAGUAUAACAUAACAAUCACAUCAGUUUUAUGGGCUGUAGAGAAUAUAAACACAGAUAAAGGGGAUUUCACUUUUUAGAACAUAAAAGAUCAUUUUAGAGGAAAAGAUCCACUGUGAGCAACUUGGUGCAUCCUCCUGGGAUGUAGAUGGCUCUUAUUUGAUUCUUCUAAGGGUGUGUUACUUUUAAUUGCAAAAUAUGGCACAGAUGAGAAUCAUUCUGGCACUACAGAGUUUAAGAUUCUUUGCAAAUAAUAUGUUCAACAAUGAGGCCAAUGAUUAAUAUCAACAAAUGUUAUUGUACAUAUCUAAUAGUAGUUUGGUUGGUUUGAAAGGAUCAGAGGCCUCCAAAAUAGUUUAUAAAAUAAAAAUAGUUUUGCUCUUAUCAAAUAAUUUCCUGCAAGGACUAUUUUUAUAGGCAUGUUAAAUAUAAUUGAAAAAAUAUUUCCACUAAUUUUUAAACAAUAGCUUUACCUUUCCAUGAGAUAAGUAUUUCUGUAAAGGUUUUAUAUUCAAUCAAAAAUGUUACAAAUGCAUUUGUAUCUCUUUAUGGGUACGAAGGACACAUUUUCAGGGAACUACAGAAAUCAGAAAAAGUUGCCCAGCAUUAAACUAAGAUGAUGUGAGCCUGACCUCUAUUUCCCAUUUCAAUACUAUGUCCUUUAACAAAGUUACAGUAUUGUUAGUGUUUCCUUAGCAAGUAUAUAUCAACGUUAAAUGAAAUACUCUGUCCCUGGUUCUAUAUU